GGGCCGUUAGCUCAAUGGUAGAGCAGCGGGCUUUUAACCCGUUGGUUCUGGGUUCGAGUCCCAGGCGGCCCACCA
rnacentral:tRNA from 1 species